AACGAACGCUGGCGGCAUGCCUAACACAUGCAAGUCGAACGAGAUCUUCGGGUCUAGUGGCGCACGGGUGCGUAACGCGUGGGAAUCUGCCCUUUGGUUCGGAAUAACAGUUGGAAACGACUGCUAAUACCGGAUGAUGACGAAAGUCCAAAGAUUUAUCGCCAGAGGAUGAGCCCGCGUAGGAUUAGCUAGUUGGUGUGGUAAAGGCGCACCAAGGCGACGAUCCUUAGCUGGUCUGAGAGGAUGAUCAGCCACACUGGGACUGAGACACGGCCCAGACUCCUACGGGAGGAAGCAGUGGGGAAUAUUGGACAAUGGGCGAAAGCCUGAUCCAGCAAUGCCGCGUGAGUGAUGAAGGCCUUAGGGUUGUAAAGCUCUUUUACCAGGGAUGAUAAUGACAGUACCUGGAGAAUAAGCUCCGGCUAACUCCGUGCCAGCAGCCGCCGUAA
rnacentral:rRNA from 1 species